rnacentral:rRNA from 1 species
AGUGAACGCUGGCGGUAGGCCUAACACAUGCAAGUCGAACGGCAGCACAGUAAGAGCUUGCUCUUACGGGUGGCGAGUGGCGGACGAGUGAGGAAUACAUCGGAAUCUACUUUUUCGUGGGGGAUAACGUAGGGAAACUUACGCUAAUACCGCAUACGACCUACGGGUGAAAGCAGGGGAUCUUCGGACCUUGCGCGAUUGAAUGAGCCGAUGUCGGAUUAGCUAGUUGGCGGGGUAAAGGCCCACCAAGGCGACGAUCCGUAGCUGGUCUGAGAGGAUGAUCAGCCACACUGGAACUGAGACACGGUCCAGACUCCUACGGGAGGCAGCAGUGGGGAAUAUUGGACAAUGGGCGCAAGCCUGAUCCAGCCAUACCGCGUGGGUGAAGAAGACCUUCGGGUUGUAAAGCCCUUUUGUUGGGAAAGAAAAGCAGCAGGUUAAUACCCCGCUGUUCUGACGGUACCCAAAGAAUAAGCACCGGCUAACUUCGUG